rnacentral:lncRNA from 1 species
GUUUGGUUUGCCAUCACUUUUUGUGACUUUUCUGACAUCUGCAAGUGUCGGAAGUGUGACCUGAAACAUUUAAGGACACUUCUGCCUGAACCAUGGGCAGAUGUUUAGACUCCAAGAUACAGAGGAGGAGGGUCUUGGAGGUUUCUUAGUAUAAGUUCCUCCCUGUGGUACUUGCAGUUCCUACAAGGGGCUGUCAGAGAAACAAGCCGGAGCAGAAGAGCAAGACAUGGUCCUGGUGCAUGAAAGGAGCCUAAGAAAGAAGAGUGAAAGCUGCACGUGUGAAGGAAAUGAAUUUUCCUCAUUGUACACAUUCCGAGAAAAAUGAGGCUAAGACUAUUUCAAAGGAUGUUCUACCUAAUUCGAAUGGGCUUUAAGUGCCAUCUUCACAAUAGCGCCAGAGUCUGGUGUCAGCAAACUGAACAAAUAGAGCUACAGGGAGCGAAUGGGGCUGGGUGCCUCUCCAAAACAUAUGCAGAUGAACUUGAGAUUUCAGAGGACGGUUAAUCCUACACAGCAGUCAAGUGCCUUCCCAGGGGUAUGUCUCAGAUCUCAGGGCUCCCUUCCAAACACUGGCUGCCACGUCAAACCAAAGGGGACGAGCAAUCAGACUCACCUCAAACGCCAGUUAAGAAAGCCGGCCUUACUUAAGCAAUCAAGGGCAAGUGAUCAGCCAACUCUGCUUUCUUUCCUUUCUCUUGGAUCAUUUAUAGACCUUGUGGCCGUGGCCACCACAUUGAGAAGCCCUUGGUCUCUACUUGGACUCACUAUAGCAGGU